rnacentral:tRNA from 1 species
ACACUGAUGGUGAAGUGGUUAUCAUGCUUGCCUUCCAUGCUUAGCAUUAGCAAGCGGCAGGGGUUCGAUUCCCCUUCAGUGUA